rnacentral:rRNA from 1 species
CAGUCGCCGCGGUAAUACGAAGGGGGCUAGCGUUGUUCGGAUUUACUGGGCGUAAAGCGCACGUAGGCGGACUUUUAAGUCAGGGGUGAAAUCCCGGGGCUCAACCCCGGAACUGCCUUUGAUACUGGAAGUCUUGAGUAUGGUAGAGGUGAGUGGAAUUCCGAGUGUAGAGGUGAAAUUCGUAGAUAUUCGGAGGAACACCAGUGGCGAAGGCGGCUCACUGGACCAUUACUGACGCUGAGGUGCGAAAGCGUGGGGAGCAAACAGGAUUAGAUACCCGAGUAGUCCCUGUCUCUUAUAU